GAUGAACGCUGGCGGCGUGCCUAAUACAUGCAAGUCGAGCGAACAGACGAGGAGCUUGCUCCUCUGACGUUAGCGGCGGACGGGUGAGUAACACGUGGAUAACCUACCUAUAAGACUGGGAUAACUUCGGGAAACCGGAGCUAAUACCGGAUAAUAUAUUGAACCGCAUGGUUCAAUAGUGAAAGACGGUUUUGCUGUCACUUAUAGAUGGAUCCGCGCCGCAUUAGCUAGUUGGUAAGGUAACGGCUUACCAAGGCCACGAGGCGUAGCCGACCUGAGAGGGUGAUGGCCCCCCCUGAACCGGGAAACCGUCCCAACCCCCCCGGGAGGCAACCGGAGGGAAAUUUCCCCAAUGGGGGAAAACCUGACCGGACAACCCCGCGGGGGGGAAUAAAGGCUUUCGAUCCUAAAACCUUUUUUUUGGGGAAAAACAAAAUUGGAAAGUACCUUGCCCCUCUUGACGGUUCCUAAAUAAAAAGCCCCGGCUUACUUCGUG
rnacentral:rRNA from 1 species